AACAAUAGCAAUUGGGCUGGCUUAGGAGC
rnacentral:piRNA from 1 species